rnacentral:rRNA from 1 species
AUUGAACGCUGGCGGCAGGCUUAACACAUGCAAGUCGAACGAGUGGCGGACGGGUGAGUAAUGCUUGGGAAUCUAGCUUAUGGAGGGGGAUAACUACGGGAAACUGUAGCUAAUCCCGCGUACCAUAGGAUGAGCCCAAGGGGGAUUAUGGAGUUGGGGAUGUAAAGGGUCACCAAGCCGACGAUCUCUAGCUGGUCUGAGAGGAUGCACAGCCAAACUGUGACGGAGACACGGCCCAGACUCCUACGGGAGGCAGCAGGGGGGAAGAUUGCGAAAUGGGGGCAACCUGACGCAGCCAUGCCGCGUGAAUGAAGAAGGCCUUCGGGUUGUAAAGUUCUUUCGGUAGCGAGGCGUUAACUACAGAAGAAGCAACGGCUAACUCCGUGCCAGCAGCCGCGGUAAUAC